UGUCGGUCCCUCCGCGACGCUAGUCCGCAAACCCCGCCAGGCCCGGAAGGGAGCAACGGUAGUGGAUGAUGCGGGUGCCGGAGUGUGGCUGGCAGGG
rnacentral:SRP_RNA from 1 species